UACAGAGGGUGCGAGCGUUGUUCGGAAUUAUUGGGCGUAAAGGGCGCGUAGGCGGUGCGGUAAGUCACCUGUGAAAUCUCCUGGCUCAACUGGGAGCUUGCAGGCGAAACUGCCGUGCUGGAGUGUGGGAGAGGUGCGUGGAAUUCCUGGUGUAGCGGUGAAAUGCGUAGAUAUCAGGAGGAACACCGGUGGCGAAGGCGGUUCUCUGGGCCUGUUCUGACGCUGAGGAGCGAAAGCGUGGGGAGCGAACAGG
rnacentral:rRNA from 1 species